UACGUAGGGUGCGAGCGUUAAUCGGAAUUACUGGGCGUAAAGCGUGCGCAGGCGGUUCGUUGUGUCGGUGGUGAAAGCCCCGGGCUCAACCUGGGAAUGGCCAUGGAAACUGGCGAACUGGAGUGUGGCAGAGGGGGGUGGAAUUCCACGUGUAGCAGUGAAAUGCGUAGAGAUGUGGAGGAAUACCGAUGGCGAAGGCAGCCCCCUGGGCCAAUACUGACGCUCAUGCACGAAAGCGUGGGGAGCAAACAGG
rnacentral:rRNA from 1 species